rnacentral:rRNA from 1 species
UACAGAGGGUGCAAGCGUUAAUCGGAAUUACUGGGCGUAAAGCGCGCGUAGGUGGUUUGUUAAGUUGAAUGUGAAAUCCCCGGGCUCAACCUGGGAACUGCAUGCAAAACUGGCAAGCUAGAGUAUGGUAGAGGGUGGUGGAAUUUCCUGUGUAGCGGUGAAAUGCGUAGAUAUAGGAAGGAACACCAGUGGCGAAGGCGACCACCUGGACUGAUACUGACACUGAGGUGCGAAAGCGUGGGGAGCAAACAGG